CCUCAGAGCCCAAACCAAAGUAGUUAGCAGGUCAAAGGAUCAGGACAGGCAACUGGGAGAGGGUUCUUGUUUAGAGGACACUUGUACAUGGCAGGUGACAAGCAGGAUAGAGAGUCUUAACUAGAAGACUCUCAACCAGGGUGCAGGAGGAGGAAGGAGGCAAUUCAUCAGAAAGGGAGGUGGACCAGGAUCAGAAGUGGGACUUUGGCUGGUGAAAGGGCUCACUGUGUAAAAGCAAUUGGUGUGCAAGCUGGGUGACCUGGACUUGAUCCGUAGAACCCAUACUUUUUAAAAGGCACACCUCUGUAACCCCAGCUCUCCUAAAAUGAGGGGGAGGUAGAGACAGGAGGAUCGAUUGACCAGAAGUUCCAGCACCAGUUAGCCUAGAGUAUAAGCCAUGGCAGAGAGCGUGACACAGUCUUAGAGAACCAACUCCUGACAGCUGUGCUCUGACCUGCCGUCACUGUGUCGGGCACUUGCACAUAUACACAUACACACCAUACACACACGUAUAAAGAGACUGUGUUAAGAGUUCAAAUCUGGAACUCUAAGGAGCAUCUGAAUGUGACGGAAUGGAUGUAAAGGACACGAAGUUCGUGACAUUGGUGUGAGCAGAGAAAACAGGAAGUCGUAGACCUGGAGAAGAGAGGAAGGCCAGGAGGAGAGGGCGUUUCAGUGUGGGGCCUGGACACCCGUGACAAAAGAAGAUGCCCAAUAAGAUGUCCGUGUGCAAAGGCCCACUUCAGGGGAGUGGGCGCUGCAUGGGAGAAGACAUCCCUGAAAAGCUGAGAACUUGGACUGAGGGUGGCUCCUGAGAGACUAGAAGUGGACAUGGCAGCAACACUGCAGGUACCCUUCUUGGAGGCCUGAAGAUGGUGUUCCCUAAUGGUCGAGUUACAGAUAAUUGAGCCUCGAGGAUACAUCAGCUGUGGGAAACAGAGAAUGCCUGUGUCACUCCUGUGUCGUGAUGGUGAAACUGAGGCACAAAGCCUUCUGGGGAUGUGAAUGGGCAUCAACACUAGAGUCAAGGUGAGAAACAGGAAAAUGCUAGCAGGAAUAUUUGCUGGAAUCACAGACUCCUGCAGCUUCCCAAGGAUUUCCUCUUUCAAAUGGAGAUGAAACUCCUCCUACCCUCUUCAGCCCUGAAGCAAACUGGUCAGUAAGCAUCUACAGGCUUUCUUCAGCACUGGGUAAAUGAGUUCUGGGUGGUUCCUCCUGAGAGCCCUCCUCCUCGGGCAGUUGUUCUAAUGGUCAGGCUACCUGUGCCACACCACUUUUAAUAAAACAUCUUGCCUUAUCCUGUGCAAACAGGCACAGUCGGCAGCGAACUUCACAUCGUGGUGUCAUUUAGAAAAGCAAAUAACAGAUUUUUUUUUCCUUCAAUAAAACAGGAAAUGAAAUUAAAAACAAGACCAGUUUCAUUUACCAGACUUGCCAUGACAAGGUUGGCCAUGGGUGAAUUUGGUUCCAGUUCAACAGUCUCGGCUAUGACAGCAGCCGGGUGCACAGAGACGGCUGUGGCGUCUCCACUCUCUCUGAGCUUCAGCUGAGCUCCAGGUUAUUUUAAAAGGGGCUUUGUAUGAAUGUGUUUCUGUCUAUGUUAACAAAGCUUUCCGUAGAUGCAGAUCUAACUGAUGUGAGCCAAGAUGUGUAGUGGGGUAAACCUCAGUACUUAGACAUCCUGAAACCGAAAUCUAGACCCACACCCUGUCCGAAUACGACUUGAUCACUGCAUUUUGAUUUGGGUGGGAAACUAAAGCUAGUGCUCGCUCAGAAACACUUUCAAGCGAGCGCAAUCUGCCCAGUGGGCCGCUGUUUGCCUGCUCUAGUGCCCAGGUCAAGGGUGAUAAAUCUUACUCAGGCAACUGUAGGAAGGAAAUGGAAAGCCCAGUAUGUCGGGCUUAGUGGAGGUGUUGUAGUAACUACUUAGCAUUUACACAUGGACGCACGGCACCACGCAGGAGUUUUUCACCUCAUGCUUCCCAGUCUACUGAAAACCCGAAGGUAUGGCCCUCGUGGUCUCUCACAUAUAGACAUUGCUUACUGCCCCUAAGUGAUUCCAAAUGAAAACACAUGCGCACACACACACACACACAUGUACACACACAUAUACACACACAUACACACACGUACACACAUAUGCACACACACAUACAUACACAUGCACACACACAUACACACAUACACAUACACAUGCACACACGUACACACACGUACACGCACACAUACAUACACACGUACACACAUAUGUACACACACCUGUAUACACAUGCAUACUACAUACACACACACACACACACACGUACACGUGCGCACACACACAAUUCUCAUGUUUUGGAAUAAUAGUAAUUGCUGCUGCUACCAUUGCUCUGGGCAGUAGCCUGGAACGUCAAGUGUGUUGUUUGCUUAAUUUUCAUAACAACUCCACAGGGCAGGUCUCAUUAUCUCUCUUGUACACAUGAACAAAUUAAGGGUCAGAUAGGUUAAUAUGCCCAGUGCUGUGUAGCUAAAAUUGGCCUGUUCGGUAUUUAAAUCCUGCCGUUUAUGACUUAACGCUACCUCCCCUGGCAGUAAAGAGCCAGUCUUAGGGAAACACUACAUUGCUUCCUGUCAUGAAUCCGACCUGUCUUCUUUUAGGAAGAGACUAAUUAUUAUAAUAGUCAGUUCUGACAUUACCCUAAAAAUGGUGUCACCAGAUGGUCAUAGCGUUUUAUCAACAAAGCGUUUCAUUGUAUCCUGGUUUAUUUCUUCAUUCCUGCCUCAUGGGUGGGUCUCAUUCUUAAGAUUUCUGAGGCAGGUUCUGUUCCUUGGUCUUUCCUUUGCCUCUGUUUUACAGCGUGUCCUCGAAAGACAGAGCAGCUUAAUGUUUACGAAAAUCUGUAAACACAUUAGAUUAUAAAUCGAGUGAGUAUUACGCAGGCCUUUCCCCCUCUCUCAAAUACAAGGUACACAGAGGUUACAGGUCAGAAGUUCACAGCCCAGUGAGUGCUCUUGAGUGAACGCACUCAGCAGCCAGAUCGAGAGUGAGAGCACCAGUGGUCGAGCCAAUGCCGUCCCGAAUGUGGCUGGAAUAUUACUUCAAAGUCUAUUUAUAUAAGUGACCUUUUGAAAGCCCCUGAGAUGUGUUUAUACAAAGGCCUGGUUGAACAGUCCACCACACUGUGAAUCCACCCGAAACACGGCACCCUACAGUCACUGGGCUAUCUUCUCCUGAUAAUUAAGAUCUGGUUUUAAUGGCAGCCAUGUUAAAAAGACAUUGCCGUUCCGAAUUGUGAAAUUCUGUUUGUCAUUAAGAAGCAUUGCCUCAAUGUUUCAGUGCUAGCUUUCCUAUCUUCAGAGGAGGAUCUGCCAUGGUCGCUUCUGUCAGAGAACGAGAGACCCGCCUCUAGCACGAUGGGCAAUACUCAACGUUCUGAGAAUCAGACUGCGUGCACACGUGAGGGGAGUCAGUUACACUUCCAAGACGAGUCCCGUAGGGUGGAACAGAUGGUGCAGGACGACGUCUCAAGGAUGUGGAAAGCAUAGAUGGAACCCGCACCACAAAUGAGGUGAACCGUGUAAGAUAAGCGAGAUUGGCUGUAGUAGUGACAGCACUGGGGCACUUGCUCACCCUACGAGCUGUGACUAAGUCACCAUAGGCAUCCUGGAGGAACGUGCACCCCCUAGAGAUCGGAGGAGAGGAUGGUCUGGAUUCAGAGGGACUCGAAUGUUGGAGGCCCCUGACCUGCAUGAGAAAGUGUGAAGGAUUUCUUAAGAGCCAGCUUGGAAGGGAGAGCAGCCCUGGACAAGACUCCUCCAGUCCCAGCUCAGCAAAGCCCCCAACUGCUUUUGAAGAACCGUUUCAUAGCUGGGCCAGCACCUGGCCACACGUUUUCAUCUACCAGCCCGGGCAGAUCAAUAUGCCCAACCCCCACGGUUUAUGAGUCCUCACUUUCUCUAACUGCUCCUUUCACUCUUUGGAAGCUUCUCCCUCUUUUAGCUGUGAAUCACCGUUUUCCAUACCAUCCGCCCGGAACAAGCAACUCUCUCAGCACUCUGCUAAGGAAACGGUCUGACAACAUUCGCCCCCUCUCUAACCUCACCAUCAUUCUCUACUUUCUUAAGAGCUCUGCUCAUGAACCUGUGCUUGGCUUCCUACAUUUAAUGUCUUUAAAUAAACCCUUACUCUUCAGCCUGGGAUCUAAGGGGGUUUCACUCACUCUAUGUUGGCAGUUCCUAGUCUUUCGUGCUACUUAAUGUUUUCCCAGUGUGGUUCUUGGAUUUGGGGUCUUAUUGUGUUUUCUUUUUAUGCAGUAGAGACCGCUUGGCACUGAAGAAUAUGGAGCUGUGGCUCCUGUCUCAUGUACCUAGUCCUGCGCUCCUGAUUACUGUGCUUCCCUAUGUACCGGGCAGUAUAGAAUGGGGCUUGCUAGCCAGACCAUCAUUCUGAAAGGAGAAUUCACUCAGCAUGUAACUCUGUGUUUCUUUCCUCGAAUCUUCUGCUGUCAUACCGUGACAAAAAUCAUCAAGUACAUAACUGCCCAGAGUGUUUUUACAAACAAUCAUAGUUUCAGCCACAGCGGGACCAAGUGUGGCAGAGUCAGGCCGGGACAUAGGUGGGCUUCACUAUGGCAUAGCCUUGUUCAGGGUUCUACAACUUUGUAUUUUAUUUUAGUUUUUUAUUUUUAUUUUUUGGGGGGUACAGCAAACUUUAUUGAUGGUAUUCAAGAGUGUAGAGCUCCCUAGACCCCUCCUAUUAUUGUGGGGGUCUGGGAUGGAAACUGAGAGAGAAGCUCAGUGUUGGGGGCUGAGUUGGGAUGGGGACUCCUCAGCAAUCGAGAGCCUCUCUCUUGUUCUCAGUGUCC
rnacentral:lncRNA from 1 species